ACGGGUGAGUAACACGUAUCCAACCUGCCGAUGACUCGGGGAUAGCCUUUCGAAAGAAAGAUUAAUACCCGAUGGCAUAGUUCUUCCGCAUGGUAGAACUAUUAAAGAAUUUCGGUCAUCGAUGGGGAUGCGUUCCAUUAGGUUGUUGGCGGGGUAACGGCCCACCAAGCCUUCGAUGGAUAGGGGUUCUGAGAGGAAGGUCCCCCACAUUGGAACUGAGACACGGUCCAAACUCC
rnacentral:rRNA from 1 species